GUCAAUAAGAUCCCUUGAAGAACACAAGGUUGAUAGGUCAGAGGUGUAAGUGCAGCAAUGUAUUUAGCUGACUGAUACUAAUAGAUCGAAGGCUUGAUCAAAAAU
rnacentral:rRNA from 1 species